rnacentral:rRNA from 1 species
CCUACGGGUGGCAGCAGUGGGGGAUAUUGCACAAUGGGGGAAACCCUGAUGCAGCGACGCCGCGUGGGUGAAGAAGCGCCUCGGCGCGUAAAGCCCUGUCAGCAGGGAAGAAAAUGACGGUACCUGAAGAAGAAGCCCCGGCUAACUACGUUCCAGCAGCCCCGGUAAUACGUAGGGGGCAAGCGUUAUCCGGAUUUACUGGGUGUAAAGGGGGCGCAGACGGCGAUGCAAGCCAGGAGUGAAAGCCCGGGGCCCAACCCCGGGACUGCUCUUGAAACUGCGUGGCUAGAGUGCAGGAGGGGCAGGCGGAAUUCGUGGGGUAGCGGUGAAAUGCGUAGAUAUCAGGAGGAACACCGGUGGCGAAGGCGGCCUGCUGGACUGCAACUGACGUUGAGGCCCGAAAGCGUGGGGAGCAAACAGGAUUAGAUACCCUAGUAGUC